ensembl:lncRNA
CAGUACCAGUAACUAGAAAAUUUACAAGUAAUGAGUAUAAAAGCUAAAAGCAACUACUGGUGGUAAAAUCAGUCCCACAACAAAUGUAAGUAAUACUAUGCCCUGUCCACCAUUGUACCGUUUGCCAACAGGAAAUGUGAAAAACAAAGUUUCAUUUCUGUCCGCAGACUUCUUGGUAUCUUCUUUGAAUGUUAACACAGAAGACAAUGUCCAGUCUCACAAUCUUUCCUCACGAAAUCCUCUCAGGCUUCAAUGACAUCUGUGUAUGUACAAGAAAUCCCAUAUUAGACUCUACGGCGUUAAUUUAUUCAUGUCUCAGUAUUCAAGACUAUAUUUCUCCAUUUUCUUUUGUAGUACAAAGCCAUCUUACAGUAUAAGAGGAGAAAUGUGAUGGCAAGAUAAUGGUGUUAGUCAAAUCAUAUUUGAAUGAUUCUUCAUAGAAGUGCAAGUAUUUUCAGGCUUUUCCAGGUUUUCAGCGGUUGUGUGAAAAUCAGCUCAGAACCUGUUUGUUUCUUCCUGUGGGUGCUCUCAGUGUUUCAAGCCCAGGGCCUCCAAGGAGUGGCAAGGCAAUGCCAGAGCGAUGAAGGCUUGUGAUUCAACCUGCCGGUGUGUGAAAGAUCCAAAGAGAUGAAAAAUGUUUCUUCCUUUCAGAAAUGCUGAUGUUCUUCAGGCGUAUUGAAGUGGAGCUGUACUCUAUCCAGACACUGAACAGAACCUGGAAAUGACGAUGAUAGUGAUUAAAAGGUAAAGGAAUUGUGAAACCUGAGGCAUUGUUGUCCUUUGGCAGGUGCCAAUAUGUUCAGUGUCAUUCUGUCCCUUCCAGGAAUGUCUCAGAUGGGAACAAGUGUACCAGCAGUCCUGCGUGACACCUUUGGUUCAAUUUCCUGGCAUAGAUCAAUAUAAGCAUAGCACUUUAUGUGCAUUUUUGCUGUUUCGUUUUUUUUUUUUUUUUUUUUUUUUUGCCAUCUUCAACAUACCCCAAAUAUCCCAAUUUCUGCCAUUACAAUUCUUUAUAAACUUGCAAAUUCAUAAAUCCUGAAGCCAAAAAUUGUUUGCUUAGUCUCAGAAGAUGGCACGUAUGUCCUGGAAAUUUGCAUUUUAGAACGGAAUUAAAUUCAAAAGCUCUGGGAAGCUGUAUGGACCUGUUGAUUUCCAUCACCAAUUAGAAAGAGAAGACUUGAAAAUGGGAGAAGAGACAACAACAGUGUCUCUUAUAUUUGCUAGAUGACGGGAAUUAUACCCAUAAAAGACAAUUCUAUGUUUUUGGCAGCAGCUAAACUAGUCGUCUGUUUAAGCAACUUUUGAGGAUUUGACUUGGGCAUUAUGAAGAAAUGGCACAAAUCCCUUCAAACCAGGACUGGAAAAAAUAAAGCACCUCCAGUCUCCAG